AGUGAACGCUGGCGGUAGGCCUAACACAUGCAAGUCGAACGGCAGCACAGUAAGAGCUUGCUCUUACGGGUGGCGAGUGGCGGACGGGUGAGGAAUACAUCGGAAUCUACUUUUUCGUGGGGGAUAACGUAGGGAAACUUACGCUAAUACCGCAUACGACCUACGGGUGAAAGCAGGGGAUCUUCGGACCUUGCGCGAUUGAAUGAGCCGAUGUCGGAUUAGCUAGUUGGCGGGGUAAAGGCCCACCAAGGCGACGAUCCGUAGCUGGUCUGAGAGGAUGAUUCGCCACACGGGAAGUGAGACACGGUCCAGACUCCUACGGGAGGCAGCAGUGGGGAAUAUUGGGCAAUGGGGGCAAGCCUGAUCCAGCCAUACCGCGUGGGUGAAGAAGGCCUUCGGGUGGUAAAGCCCUGUUGUUGGGAAAGAAAAGCAGCAGGUUAAUACGCCGCUGUUCUGACGGUACCGAAAGAAUAAGCACCGGCUAACUUCGUG
rnacentral:rRNA from 1 species